UUUUCUAGGUAGUAUAUUUAAUUAAUUGAAAUUUAAAAGAUCUGGCGGUUUUUAAAUCUUUUUAGAGGAACCUGUAAUUUAAAUGAUAGUCCACGAUUUUUUUUACCUUGAUUUUCUUGUAUAUCUCUGUCGUUGAAUGUAGUGAAAGUUUAUUUUCUUUUUUUUUAUUUAAUUUAUGUUAGGUCAAGGUGCAGUUGUAUUAAGGUAGUUAUGGGUUACAUUAAUUUUUGUUUGUGGAUUUUUUUUUUGUUUAUUAAUGAAUUUGGAUUUAA
rnacentral:rRNA from 1 species